GAUCAUGGCUCAGAACGAACGCUGGCGGCGUGGAUAAGACAUGCAAGUCGAACGAGAGAAUUGCUAGCUUGCUAAUAAUUCUCUAGUGGCGCACGGGUGAGUAACACGUGAGUAACCUGCCCCCGAGAGCGGGAUAGCCCUGGGAAACUGGGAUUAAUACCGCAUAGUAUCGAAAGAUUAAAGCAGCAAUGCGCUUGGGGAUGGGCUCGCGGCCUAUUAGUUAGUUGGUGAGGUAACGG
rnacentral:rRNA from 1 species